rnacentral:rRNA from 1 species
AUUGAACGCUGGCGGCGUGCCUAAUACAUGCAAGUCGAGCACAGGAAGCUCACGGAACUCUUCGGAGGGAAGUGAAGGGAAUGAGCGGCGGACGGGUGAGUAACACGUAAGGAACCUGCCCCAAGGAUUGGGAUAACUCCGAGAAAUCGGAGCUAAUACCGAAUAGUUCUUCAGACCGCAUGGUCUGAUGAUGAAAGGCGCUCCGGCGUCACCUUGGGAUGGCCUUGCGGUGCAUUAGCUAGUUGGUGGGGUAAUGGCCCACCAAGGCGACGAUGCAUAGCCGACCUGAGAGGGUGAUCGGCCACACUGGGACUGAGACACGGCCCAGAAUCCUACGGGAGGCAGCAGUAGGGAAUCUUCCAAAAUGGACGAAAGUCUGAUGGAGCAACGCCGCGUGAGUGAUGAAGGUUUUCGGAUCGUAAAACUCUGUUGUAAGGGAAGAACAGGUAUGAGAGGUAAUGCUCAUGCUAUGACGGUACCUUACGAGAAAGCCACGGCUAACUACGUGCCAGCAGCCGCCGUAAUAC